AAGAUUAUCUCGAUGAGCGAUAGUCGAUGGCACGAUGAACGGAGAAGGCGGACACGUGAAACAGUUGGAGGCGUACGAGCGGCGGAUGCGCGAGGCAGGACCGCCGGUUAUCACCUCGUCGACACGGUUAUAAUUGUCAUCGUUAUCGUUAUUGCGUCACAUAACCUAAUUGCCAUGCGACGCAGCCGUCGGCCCUUAUCCCGGCGACGAUUAACAUCGGCGACAUGGCCGGGAACACGUCGUUCAUCCAUAUGCAGUGAGAACCAAUAAAGAUAGACUCACAUAUUGUCAUCCAUUGGUCGUAGAGCUAUACAGAAAGGUUUAAAAGAAAGGUUUUGUACAAUACUACAUUCAAAAAAGAAGAAUUGAUAAUUGCCAGCUGUUAGCACUGCAAAUUCAAAUUCAGUUGGUUAGCCGGAGAUAAGCGAAAACUUGCGCAAACAUAUUUAGAAGAUUUAUCAGGAAUUCCUUCAAUUAAACAUUUUUUGAUGCCUGAUAAGCACAACGAUAGCGAUGACCUUUUCAAUUUCAAAUAGCAAACGUCAAAUGAGAAAUCUGCCUAUGAUGAAUAGCAAAGAUUUUUAAAGUCAACAGGCAACUAAUGUCCAAAUGUUAUUAAAUUCAU